GGGUUGUGAGGUUAAGCGACUAAGCGUACACGGUGGAUGCCCUGGCAGUCAGAGGCGAUGAAGGACGUGCUAAUCUGCGAAAAGCGCCGGCGAGGUGAUAUGAACCCUUGACCCGGCGAUGUCCGAAUGGGGAAACCCAGUGUGUUUCGACACACUAUCGUUAACUGAAUACAUAGGUUAACGAGGCGAACCGGGGGAACUGAAACAUCUAAGU
rnacentral:rRNA from 1 species